GUAAGGACAUGUAAGGACUCUGGA
rnacentral:piRNA from 1 species